AACCUGCCAGAGGAGUCCCUUCCAGUGCCCGCUACGGGCCGACGCCGCCAAGAAGUUCAACGUACAGAUUUUGUAAGAAUGCUUUAAGAACACAGGACGAUCUUCAAACUUGGACUUACGAUGGAGAGACACCAGAGAUGUGCCCACAGAGGUGAGACCAGGGGGAAACUGUGAAGAUGACCAUCUGAAAGCCAAGGAAAGAGGCCUCAGAGCAAACCAAACCUGCUGACACCGUGAUCUUGGACCUCCAAUCUCCAGAACUGUGAGAAGCUUCAUGUCUGUUGUUUAAGCCACAUGGACUGUAGGAUCUUGUUAUGGCAGGCUUAGCACUCUAAUAAAAUUGUG